UGGCGGCAGGCUUAACACAUGCAAGUCGAACGCCCCGCAAGGGGAGUGGCAGACGGGUGAGUAACGCGUGGGAAUCUACCCAACUCUACGGAAUAACUCAGGGAAACUUGUGCUAAUACCGUAUACGCCCUUCGGGGGAAAGAUUUAUCGGAGUUGGAUGAGCCCGCGUUGGAUUAGCUAGUUGGUGGGGUAAAGGCCUACCAAGGCGACGAUCCAUAGCUGGUCUGAGAGGAUGAUCAGCCACAUUGGGACUGAGACACGGCCCAAACUCCUACGGGAGGCAGCAGUGGGGAAUAUUGGACAAUGGGCGCAAGCCUGAUCCAGCCAUGCCGCGUGAGUGAUGAAGGCCCUAGGGUUGUAAAGCUC
rnacentral:rRNA from 1 species